CGAGAGGUACAAAGUGGUAUGCCACGCACUCGAAAUGCGGCAUACCUGCAAGGGUAUCGUGGAUUCGAAUCCCACCCUCUCCGCCA
rnacentral:tRNA from 1 species